AUUGAUAAUUGUUUCCCUAAAGGUUUUUCAGAUAUAGCUAUGACACUUUUAAGACAUAAUGACCCAUGUCCUCGCCUCUGUCUAUUUUGUAAAUACUCUUUGUAGUUUCUGGUUAAUAAAGUAUAUAGGAAAGGGUUGAUACAGCUGUUGCUAUAGGUAAGACAAGUGACCAGAUGGUUGAUAUAAAUCUCUGUUUGAACAGAGACUUUCAGUCCAUCAUGACUAUAAAGGGGUACCAGCU